rnacentral:rRNA from 1 species
AGUGAACGCUGGCGGCGUGCUUAACACAUGCAAGUCGAACGAGAACGGAUUAUAGCUUGCUAUAAUUGUCAGCUAAGUGGCGCACGGGUGAGUAAUGUAUAGGUAAUAUGCCUCUUACUAAGGGAUAACAAAUGGAAACGUUUGCUAAUACCUUAUACUCCUUAUUAACAUAAGUUAAUAAGGGAAAGAUUUAUUGGUAAGAGAUUAGCCUGUAUUGUAUCAGUUAGUUGGUGGGGCAAUGGCUUACCAAGACUAUGACACAUAACUGGUUUGAGAGGAUGAACAGUCACACUGGAACUGAGACACGGUCCAGACUCCUACGGGAGACAGCAGUGGGGAAUAUUGCACAAUGGACGAAAGUCUGAUGCAGCAACGCCGCGUGGAGGAUGACACAUUUCGGUGCGUAAACUCCUUUUAUAUGAGAAGAUAAUGACGGUAUUAUAUGAAUAAGCACCGGCUAACUCCGUGCCAGCCGCCGCCGUAA